GCAGUCUGCAACUCGACUGCGUGAAGGUGGAGUCGCUAGUAAUCGCGGAUCAGCAACGCCGCGGUGAAUGCGUUCCCGGGCCUUGUACACACCGCCCGUCAAGUCAUGAAAGUGGGCAGCACCCGAAGACGGUGGCCUAACCCUUGUGGGGGGAGCCGUCUAAGGUGAGGCUCGUGAUUGGGACUAAGUCGUAACAAGGUACC
rnacentral:rRNA from 1 species